CUUGGUCAUUUAGAGGAAGUAAAAGUCGUAACAAGGUUUCCGUAGGUGAACAUGCGGAAGGAUCAUUAAAAGUAAUAUGUAUUCUCACGAAUAUACAUUAUAAACCCAUCUGUGUAUCUUACCUGUUGCUUCCGCGAGCCAGUGAUCUCGGUCACCUCCGCGGGAUGGCGAAAGCCGUCCUCCGGGGAGCACUCGCGGGAGGUAUACAUCAAACUCUUGCAUUUUUAUGUCAUCUGUCUGAACUGUUUAUAACAAAUGUUAAAACUUUCAACAACGGAUCUCUUGGUUCUCGCAUCGAUGAAGAACGCAGCGAAAUGCGAUAAGUAGUGUGAAUUGCAGAAUUCAGUGAAUCAUCGAAUCUUUGAACGCACAUUGCGCCUCCUGGUAUUCCGGGAGGCAUGCCUGUUCGAGCGUCAUUAAAAACCACUCAAGCUCUUUUGCUUGGUAUUGGGAGAGGAGUGCACUCGUUGCCCUCCCUCCCGAAAUUCAAUGGCGGAAAGCCCCAUGUGCCCCGGCGUAGUAAGUUUUCUUUCGCUUGGAACGUGAGGUGAUCCUGCCGCAAACCCCCAAUUCUUUCUAGGUUGACCUCGGAUCAGGUAGGGAUACCCGCUGAACUUAAGCAUAUCAAUAAGCGGAGGA
rnacentral:rRNA from 1 species